CAACCAUCAAGCACCGCUUGGUAUUGGGCAACGCCUCCGGAUUCUUUCCGCGGCGGGCCUCAAAGUCAGUGGCGGUACCGUCCAGCUUCCAGCGUAGUAAUUAACCUCGCUAGGGAUGCCGGACUCGUGCCCGCCAUCAAGCCAAAUUUUUUUCAGG
rnacentral:misc_RNA from 1 species